UACAGAGGGGGGCAAGCGUUGUUCGGAAUUACUGGGCGUAAAGGGCGCGUAGGCGGCCCGCUAAGUCGAACGUGAAAUCCCUGGGCUCAACCCCAGGAACUGCGUCCGAUACUGGUGGGCUUGAAUCCGGGAGAGGUGAGUGGAAUUCCGAGUGUAGAGGUGAAAUUCGUAGAUAUUCGGAAGAACACCAGUGGCGAAGGCGGCUCACUGGACCGGUAUUGACGCUGAGGUGCGAAAGCGUGGGGGAGCAAACAGG
rnacentral:rRNA from 1 species